rnacentral:lncRNA from 1 species
UUAUUUUAUACUAUUAUUAAAUGAACAAAUUUUAAAAUUUUCUGCAUGUCUUGGUAUACAACAUUUAAUACUACUUUUGGAAAUUUUUAGUAAUCAAAAUGUUAUUUCUACUCCCGUUUUGUAUUUAUUAAAAUUGAAGUUAGAAAAAAUAGCGCAAUCGAAAAUGAACGAGCUUGAAUGGGUAAAAAAUAAUGGUAUCCAAUGUGCUAAACCCAUAAAAAGGGAAGAAAAAAAGAACCAAAAUAAUACAACUUACAACAUAGAAUUAAAAAACAUAUAUAAAAUUAUUAAUAUAGUAAAUUGUAUGUCCGUACAAUAUUUUGAUUUAAUUCAGAAAUGUUUAGAAUGUAUAUUUUUUAUUCAAAAUGACUUUGAAAUAGCAAACGAAGAAGAAAUAAAAUACAUGACUUAUUCAUGUUGUUUUUUUGUACUAAUGAAUAAUAAUUAUGACCAAUUGUUAAAUAAUGUUUUAUGCGAAAAGGUAAAAAGUUUUUUUUUAUUUUUCGAUUCACACUUGUUACAACGGGGGCAAAACAAAAGAGAAGAAAAUCAUGCCAGAUAUAAUACAAAAUGUGAUAAAGAUAUGACAAUUUUAUUUUCAAAUAGAAUUAAAAUUUAUGACAAACAAAAAAAAUCAUCUUCUUGUAACAAGUUAUUAACUAACAACAAACAUCAUAUAAACAAAUCAGGAUAUAACGAAUUGGACAUAAAUCUGUAUGCAACCAUUAUACUAACAAAUAUGGUCGAGUUGGUAUAUAAUUUUUCAAAUAAUAAAGUUGUAAAUAUAUAUAAUUUUAAUAACCCAUAUAUAACACAUAUUUUUUAUAACAACAUUUAUAAAAUAAAAAAUUAUACAGGUAAUAAUGAUUGCAUAUUUAUGCUUCAAAAACUGUUCCCUCUGAUGUAUAUUUCAUACAUAAACAACACACAUUCAAAACAUAUAAAAGCAAAUAACUAUUUUAUUUCAACCUACUUUUUGCAAUAUUUUGAAGAAAAUAAUAAAGAAUUCUUACAAAGUAUAUAUGUGAAAAAAAAUAUUGAUUAUCAUAAACAAACUCUAAGCGAAAUGCAUAAAAUAUUAACAAGCUUAAAUCAAGAAAAUUAUAAAAUUAAAUUAUUUAAAAACAAACUUAAAAAGAAAUCUAUUUUUCUUUACACUGAUUACAUAUAUGUAAAAAAUAAAAAAAACAACCAAAAAAUCUCCAUUUUAUUUGCAACACAAAACUAUUACUACAAUACAAUAAACGAAUUACAAAUUUGUUACAGUUCAAAACAUACUUCUAAACUUUUUGAUAAAAAAUGUUUAACGAAAUAUGCCGUAGCGCAGGUACAAUAUUUUAAAAUGUUUUUCGAUCAUGUUUAUUUAAUACCAUACUAUUUGUGGAAGAGCCUAAAUAUAAAUGAAAAAAAAAAUCAUUUUGUUACUUUGCUAAAGAUAUGAAACUGGAAAGAGUUUACCCUUCAAAGAAAAAGAGGAGUAAACUAUUUAUUUUUAACUCUUACCCCCUUCC